GUGCUCGCUUCGGCAGCACAUAUACUGAAA
rnacentral:snRNA from 1 species